UACGAAGGGAGCUAGCGUUGUUCGGAAUCACUGGGCGUAAAGCGCACGUAGGCGGUUGUGUCAGUCAGAGGUGAAAUCCCGGAGCUCAACUUCGGAACUGCCUUUGAUACAGCACGUCUUGAGUCCGAUAGAGGUGGGUGGAAUUCCUAGUGUAGAGGUGAAAUUCGUAGAUAUUAGGAAGAACACCAGUGGCGAAGGCGGCUCACUGGCCCGAUACUGACGCUGAGGCACGAAAGCGUGGGGAGCAAACAGG
rnacentral:rRNA from 1 species